GAUGAACGCUGGCGGCGUGCCUAAUACAUGCAAGUCGAGCGAACGGACGAGAAGCUUGCUUCUCUGAUGUUAGCGGCGGACGGGUGAGUAACACGUGGAUAACCUACCUAUAAGACUGGGAUAACUUCGGGAAACCGGAGCUAAUACCGGAUGAUAUUUUGAACCGCAUGGUUCAAAAGUGAAAGACGGUCUUGCUGUCACUUAUAGAUGGAUCCGCGCUGCAUUAGCUAGUUGGUAAGGUAACGGCUUACCAAGGCAACGAUGCAUAGCCGACCUGAGAGGGGGUAGGCCACACUGGAACUGAGACACGGUCCAGACUCCUACGGGAGGCAGCAGUAGGGAAUCUUCGGCAGUGGGCGAAAGCCUGACGGAGCAACGCCGCGUGAGUGAUGAAGGUCUUCGGAUCGUAAAACUCUGUUAUUAGGGAAGAACAUAUGUGUAAGUAACUGUGCACAUCUUGACGGUACCUAAUCAGAAAGCCACGGCUAACUACGUG
rnacentral:rRNA from 1 species